AAGCAAAUAUUCAUGCACUAUAUAAAGGGGCCCUAGAGUUAAACCAAAAACAGCAACCCAAAAACCACACAACCACAUUCAUUCAGUUCUAGCUUCUCAUCACUCUCUUUUCUCUAUUUUCAAUACAUUUUAUUCAUUUAUUUUUCCUUUUUUUCAAGUGUGUGAGUGAGCCAAAUAUGGAUACCAAGAUGUCAGGUAUCAUUGCUCCAUCUCAUACUAAGCAUACAGUCACAAAUGGGCUACCUAAACAAGAUCAUCAUCAGCCGCUGCAGCAGCAGCAGCCGCACCACCAGCAGCAGCUGCAGCCGCACCAUCAGCAGCAGCAGCAGCCGGGGCACCACAGCUUUGGUGCUCGAGUCCUGGGAGAAGCUCAUCAUGGUGGUGCAGGCCGAGGGACUCGUUUGCUUGGAAAUGGCCGUGGUUCCCACCACCGAGCGCAUGGGGCAUCCGAUGAGACCGAGUUGGGUAGGAAAAUUCUGGCCAUUCAUGAAACUGAUGAGCGUGGGAUUCAUGUCAAGCCUGUUCUUAGCAUCAUUGAAGUCAUAUUUUACCGUGCAACUGCUGACCUUCCUGGUUAUUCACCGGCAGCUUCCUUACCUCAAUCGUUGGACAUUGUUCCACAUGAUGAGAAGGCCGUACACUCCGCUGUUGCGCUCCAUGACAUGGUCGAACUCCCAACCCGGACCAUCAGUGCCAUUUCCUGCGAGAUUUUCAGUAAGUGUUCAGCUGGGGUAGACGUGAACACGAUAGUCAUGGAUAUACUGCAGCUAAUCAAGCACUACAAUUGGGAUUCAAAGGUGGUGUUAGUGUUGGCAGCAUUCGCCAUCACAUUCGGCGAGUUUCGGCUCGUUGUUCAGCUUUAUUCGUCUAACCCACUAGCCAAAGCCAUCGCUCUACUCAAGCAACUCCCAGAAAUAUUGGAGCAUGCUGCUGCUCUAAGACCAAAACUUGAUGCACUCUUUGCUCUCAUCAAUGAAAUUCUUGACGUGACCAAGAAAAUUGUUGAGUUUUAUGAUAUUCCUAGAAGUGAGUACUUCACUGCUGAUUCCCCUGAAAUUUUAGCUGCUGCUUCUCACAUUCCCACAGCUGUUUACUGGACCAUCCGAAGCAUAAUUGUUGCAGCUACUCAGAUUUUGGCUCUCACUGGCAUGGGAAUAGAGUACUUAACUGAGCCGUGGGAGCUGUCAUCAUUGGCUCAUAAGCUUAACAACAUAAAAGGACAUCUUGUGGAUCUAAUUGAACGAUGUCAUAAAGUCAUCCAGAAGAGGAGAGAAGAUGAAACUUUUGAGGCCCUUGUACGCAUUUUCACAGUUACUCACAUUGAUAACACAAAGCCUCUUUCGGCUUUGUUCUACUACAAUGAUGGCCAGCCACCACUGUACGAUUGCUUCAGCAAGAGAAGGGUUACUACUGAAGAGUACAGGAGGAAGGUGGUAGCACUAUUCAUUACAGAUCUCGAUCCUGAGUUGCCACGUGGUACGGAAUACUCAAUCUUACAACAAAUGUACCAUGAAAAGAGGCAGAGUGCAACAAGGGCCCAGAGUCAGUACGAGGUGGUUUGGGUGCCGAUUUCAGACUAUUGGACUGAUGAAAAACAGGUGUUGUUUGAGACACUGAGAGACCAAAUGGAAUGGCACUCCAUCCACCACCAUUCUGUGGUGUCAUCGGUGGUCACCAGGUAUGUCAAGGAGAAGUGGAACUUUGCUAAGAAACCCAUGCUUGUAAUAAUGGACACACAAGGAAAAAUUGCACACCAUAAUGCUAUCCACAUGAUGUGCAUUUGGGGAAGCCUUGCCUUCCCUUUCUCAAUCACCCAAGAAAAACUACUUUGGGACGACAUGAGAUGGUCCAUUGAGCUCGUUGCUGACAAUCUUGACCCAAAUAUGGCCAUCUGGCUCCAAGACAACAGACACAUAUGCUUGUAUGGAGGAGAAGACAUAAACUGGAUCAGAAAGUUCACAAGAAUUGCAAAAGAUGUUGCUAUAGAAUCUGGAAUUACCUUGGAAUUGCUUUACGUAGGAAGGAGCAAACCCAAGGAAAGAACAAUAAAGAGUGUAAUUGAUGUAAUCAACAAAGAGGGAUUGAGCAGAACACUUGAUUGGAAUCUGAUUUGGUAUUUUUGGAUGAGGCUAGAGAGCAUGUGGCAUUCCAAGGGUCAACUAACCAAGCCUGAGGAUGCAAAGAAGGACCCCAUAUUGUUGGGGAUCAUUGCUAUGUUGAGCUACGGCUCAAGUGACCAAGGGUGGGCUGUGAUCAGCAAAGGUGUUGGUGAAAUGGUUAAGAGCAAUGGGGAACACUUUCUCAAGGUCCUAGCCGAACAUGGUCGGUGGAAGAUGAGGGAGGAAGUGCUAGGAUUUGUACCAGCUAUGGGUGAGUACCUCAACCAGGUCCAUCUUGAGGCCCCACAUCACUGCACAAGCCUCAUAUUGCCUGCCACUGGUGCCAUGCCUGACACUGUUUCAUGCUCUGAGUGUGGCCGCCUCAUGGAGAGGUACACCAUGUUCCGUUGCUGCCUUGAUUGAUCAUCAUCAUCAUUCACCUUGAUUCGCCAAUAUUAUCUUUCAAAAAAUGGGGACCUAAUUUGAAAAGGCUAUUGGGUUUGUUGUCUUUCUUUCUUUCAUUUUUCCAAUUAAAGUACAAGUAUAUUAUAUAUACUAUUAUUGCUUGUACUUAGUUAUUGCUUGCCACUAUUGCUACUACGGCCUAUUAUUACACUAGGAAUAAUCAAGACAUAUCCAGCCUUAUUAUUAAGGUCCUCAUCACAUCUUGUGCCUGGCCAUGAGGAUUCUACUUGUGUGCUUUUCUUUUUUCCUUCAUUUAAGUUGAUGUUAUGUAAUUCAUAUAAAUGAGAAUAAUAAAUGUGUCAUUCGGCAAUAAUAUGAUGUGAUGUGUUAAUUA